rnacentral:rRNA from 1 species
GACGAACGCUGGCGGCGUGCUUAACACAUGCAAGUCGAGCGGAAAGGCCCCUUCGGGGGUACUCGAGUGGCGAACAGGUGAGUAACACGUGGGUAACCUGCCCUUGGCUUCGGGAUAACUUCAGGAAACUGGGGCUAAUACCGGAUAGGAAUCCUUGCUGCAUGGGGGGGGGUGGAAAGCUUCGGCGGUUUUGGAUGGACUCGCGGCCUAUCAGCUUGUUGGUGGGGUGGUGGCUUACCAAGGCGUCGACGGGUAGCCGGCCUGAGAGGGCGACCGGCCAGGCUGGGACUGGGAUGCGGCACAGACUCCAAUGGGAGGCAGCGGUGGAGAGUGUUGCACUACGGGAGGGAGGGUGAUGUGGCGAAGCGGCGUGGCGGAUGAGGUGCCUGGGGUUGUGAUCCGCUUCUAGCAGGGGCGCGGCGUGUGUUGACGGUAGCGGCAGAAGAAGCACCGGCUAACUACGUG